rnacentral:misc_RNA from 1 species
CGCGCUUUCAACCCCACCCCCAAAACGAUCGUCUCUGAAAACCCAAUCGCAUUUCAAUACUUACCCUCUUUGGAAAGACAAGUUGAGGGAGAACUGUUACAAAAGGGUGCGCGAGGACAGGAAUCGCUUGCUUUGGAAAAUGAGGUUGCCCACUGCUAAAUCUCUCGGUGACAAGGAUUUUAUCAAAUCUGCUUUCCAAAACAUAGUUUCCGAU